CAGCAUUCUGCUUACACCUUUGGCCACAUAUUUCACAAUCCAACAUCAAUUGGUACCAACAGCAGCCCUUCUCUCCAUCAUCCAGAAGGGUCUGAGAUCAGUGUUGGAGAUGAUGGUUCGGAACAACCCAUGGAAAGCUUAUCACUCAUUGAUGCUGUGAUGCCUGAUGUUGUUGCAAGUCGUCAACAGCAAACACAGAACAAUCAGAAACCACAAGUGGUAAAGACAGAACCACCAAAUUCCAAUGGAGAUGAACCCAUGCAUUCCUAUCGCUGGGACGAGGAAACAGGAGUAGAGAUACCUGCCAGCAAAUCAACUGUACUUUGUGGACAUUUUCUCUCAGUCGUGAAAACGCCAUGGUUCUCCAAAAGUUCGAGCUUCCUCCCAAGACCACCCAUGUGGAAAUUUCAGCCGUUGGAAGUGGGUUCUCCAUUAUCCAAGUGUCAACUUCUUACAAUUUGAAUGUCACUGGAGAGUGGCCGCUAUUCACGCUGGAUCCUCAACUCUUUAAGAACGCCAAUCAGAACCGCAUGCAGUUGACCAUCUGCUCCAGUUUCGUCGGUGAGGAGAGCAACAGGGCCGUUACAUAAAUCAGUUUGCCGUCGGGUUACGUCAUGGACGAGGAUUCCCUACCGAGUCUCAGAGCCACCAAAGAUGUCAAGAAAGUUAAAACGAAAGAAGGUGGCACUGGAAUUUCGUUGUAUUUCGACAAGAUGACGAGGAAUACGGUUUGCCCAACUGUUCAAGCGUAUCGCGUUUUCAAAGUGGCCGAGCAACGUAAAGUACCCGUCGUCAUGUACGAUUAUUACGACAGCUCUCGACGUGCUCGAGUGUUUUACGAACCAGUUCCAGCCAAUGUGUGUGACAUUUGCCAGUCAACCGACUGCAAAAUUCAAUGCUUUUCUUAUCCGGGUUGGAGUGGAGACGAAGAAGGAACCAAAGGAUGGGGAACGCUUGGCGGUCGUAACAAUAGCCGCCCCACCAGUGGCCAACAGUCAUUGCUCCCGACGUUACUCUGUUUUGUUUUGUCAGGUCUCACAAGUGCUUUACUCUUAAUUUAACAACAACAUAACAAAAAUUAUUAUCUAACUUGUCUCUCAUUUAUCC